rnacentral:lncRNA from 1 species
GCGAGAGACGUUGAGAGGAGAGCUGUGAACAUAUUUGAGCAUUUUUGAGCUGAAAAAGGAGCGAAAACACCGAUAAAAGUCCUCAGUAGACCUCUACUGGACCAGAAAAGGACUACAGACCAGGACCAGAAAAGGACUACAGACCAGGACCAGAAAAGGACUACAGACCAGGACCAGAAAAGGACUACAGACCAGGACCAGAAAAGGACUACAGACCAGGACCAGAAAAGUGGACCAUGGCCCUGUGCGUGGCACAAGCAUGUGAGAAGGACCAGGGAAGAAAAGAUGAAGAAAGAAAAGAUGGAGGAGACAUCUGCAGAGAACGGAGACAAAGGACGACUUUUAUCAAUCAAAACAAUUAUGCCACAAUCAGCCACAGGAGGAGACACCAGCAGAGGAAAGGAAGACUAUUAACCAAAACAAAGUAAGCAAAGCCUCUAAUGUUCACAGAAAGACACUGAAAAUAUGUUUAUUGUAAAAUUGGACGUCACGUUUUACUAAUGCCUGUAAAAUGCCGGAGAGGAACGACAGCAUCCACUGAUGGAGGAGAAGAAGAAAGAUAGAGGAGCACCAGUGUCUACAGCGUCCCACAACCAACCUCAUGAGGAGACAUCAGCACAGGAUGAAGAUAAAGGAAGACCUAUCAAUCAAUCAUAAAAACAAAGUAAACAAAGCUUCUUGUUUACACAG